CGGGCGGCCGUGACCCUGCUGGAGUGCGGGGGGGACCUCCAGCCCCCCGGGGGGUCCCUGACUCUGCUCUGCCGCGGGAAUGGGUUCGAUUUCGGGAGUUACAACAUGAUGUGGGCCCGUCAGAGCCCCGGGAAAGGGCUGGAAUACGUCGCAGAGAUCAACGGUGGUGGCAGCAGCACCAACUACUCGCCGUCAGUCAAGGGCCGGUUCUCGAUCUCCAGGGACAACGGGCAGAGCUCAGUGACGCUGACCAUGAACAGCCUCAAGGACGAGGAUUCCGCCGUUUAUUUCUGCAUCAAGAAUAGUGGCACUAGUUGUUGUUACGGUGCUUAUGUUAUUUUGGCGCUCAUCACGGCCCCCAGUGUCCCCUGCAUGUUUGGGUCUCAAACCUCAACCAUGGCCCCAAAUGUCAACCCUUUGGGCACCUGUGGGGGCUAA